rnacentral:rRNA from 1 species
AUGACUAUACCACAUUGAAAACACCGGUUCUCGUCCGAUCACCGAAGUUAAGCAAUGUCGGGCCCGGUCAGUACUUGGGAGGGUGACCACCUGGGAACACCGGGUGCUGUAGGCU